rnacentral:rRNA from 1 species
AGUGAACGCUGGCGGUAGGCCUAACACAUGCAAGUCGAACGGCAGCACAGUAAGAGCUUGCUCUUACGGGUGGCGAGUGGCGGACGGGUGAGGAAUACAUCGGAAUCUACUUUUUCGUGGGUGAUAACGUAGGGAAACUUACGCUAAUACCGCAUACGACCUACGGGUGAAAGCAGUGGAUCUUCGGACCUUGCGCGAUUGAAUUAGCCGAUGUCGGAUUAGCUAGUUGGCGGGGUAAAGGCCCACCAAGGCGACGAUCCGUAGCUGGUCUGAGAGGAUGAUCAGCCACACUGGAACUGAGACACGGUCCAGACUCCUACGGGAGGCAGCAGUGGGGAAUCUUGGACAAUGGGCGCAAGCCUGAUCCAGCAAUACCGCGUGGGUGAAGAAGGCCUUCGGGUUGUAAAGCCCUUUUGUUGGGAAAGAAAAGCAGCAGGUUAAUACCCCGCUGUUCUGACGGUACCCAAAGAAUAAGCACCGGCUAACUUCGUG